CCUACGGGCGGCAGCAGUGAGGAAUAUUUGUCAAUGGGCGGGAGCCUGAACCAGCCAAGUCGCGUGAGGGAAGACGGUCCUAUGGAUUGUAAACCUCUUUAGUCGGGGAGCAAUUCCGGGCACGUGUGCCCGGAGGGAGAGUACCCGCAGAAUCAGCAUCGGCUAACUCCGUGCCAGCAGCCGCGGUAAUACGGAGGCUGCGAGCGUUAUCCGGAUUUUUUGGGUUUAAAGGGUGCGGAGGCGGAUUUUUAAGUGAGCGGUAAAAUGUCCGGGCUCAACCCGGGCCGGCCGGUGAAACUGGGGAUGGUGAGUGGGCGAGAAGUAUGCGGUAUGCGGGGUGGAGCGGUGAAAUGCAGAGAU
rnacentral:rRNA from 1 species